GGCAUUUCACUGUAAGGUGUAAGGCAUUUCACUGUAAGGCAUUUCACUGUAAGGCAUUGCACUGUAAGGCAUUUCACUGUAAGGCAUUGCACUGUAAGGCAUUUCACUGUAAGGCAUUGCACUGUAAGGCAUUUCAUUGUAAGGUGUAAGGCAUUUCACUGUAAGGUGUAAGGCAUUUCACCGUAAGGCAUUUCACUGUAAGGUGUAAGGCAUUUCACUGUAAGGUGUAAGGCAUUUCACUAUAAGGCAUUUCACUGUAAGUCAUUUCACUGUAAGGUGUAAGGCAUUUCACUGUAAGGCAUUUCACUAUAAGGCAUUUCACUAUAAGGCAUUUCACUGUAAGUCAUUUCACUGUAAGGUGUAAGGCAUUUCACUGUAAGGCAUUUCACUGUAAGGCAUUUCACCGUAAGGCAUUUCACUGUAAGGCAUUUCACUGUAAGGCAUUUCACUGUAAGGCAUUUCACUGUAAGUCAUUUCACUGUAAGGUGUAAGGCAUUUCACUAUAAGGCAUUUCACUAUAAGGCAUUUCACUGUAAGGCAUUUCACUAUAAGGCAUUUCACUGUAAGGUGUAAGGCAUUUCACUGUAAGGCAUUUCACUGUACCUGUUGUAUUCGGUGCAUGUGACAAAUACAAUUUGAUUUGAUUUAAUAAUAUUAGGUACAUUUCAUAUUCACAAAUGUAAAUGGUCUUAUUCAACUAAUUCAAAACCUAACUUUUUUCACUUUUUAAAUGAAUUUAAACAAUAUGGCACUACUUUAACUAAAAGGAAAAACAAAAAGGCAACUAAAACUUGUUUCAUGAUUAAGAUUAGUUUGUUUAGGAUUCCUGGCAAUGUAAAUAGUUUGUAUGUAAUCUGGUUUGCGUGUGACUAUUCCUAUUUUGUUUGUUGAUAUUUGUUUGUUAAUAAAAAAUAAUAUUAAAAAAC
ensembl:lncRNA